CAGUGUAAUAUUCAAUCUUCAUAUGUUUGUUAUCUGUAAUUUUUCUUUCUUUUGAAUUAUAAUCUCAUCACAUUAUGAUCCAAUAAUUUACAAAUAAUUACUUCUUUUUUUCUUCCUUUUUUAUUUUCUGAGAUUUGCUUUGUGGCCCACCAAUGAAAGCCCCAUUAACAGCUGAAAAGACAGUGUAUUGCAUUUUUGUUCAAUAAAAUAUUCUGUAGAUGUCUAAUUCCAUUUGAAAUAAAGAAUAGUUAAACUCUGUAAUAUCUUUGUUGAUUUUCUAUCUAAAUAGAAAUGAGAGUGGUGUUUUUUAAAUCAGCCACUAUUAUUGUAUCAGUGCUCAUCUGUCCCUUUAUGUGAAGCAAUGCAUGUUUUAUGAAAUUGGGCACAUUGUCAUUUAGAGUAAAAAUAUUUACAAUGAUAUUGGGGAGUUCUUGUCUUUUCUAAUGUGUUGAACCAUCGUUGUCUCUUAUUAAUUUAGGCAUGAAGUCUACUUCAUCAGGCCUGAGAAUAACCACUCUUGCUUUCAGGUUCUGUUUGCAUGGAAUUUAAUUUUUUCUUCUUUCAUUUUCACAUUAUAGGUUUGUUCAUAAAUAAAAUGAGUUCCUUGCAGAAAACACAAUUAGUUCUUGCUUUUCACACAAUUUAUCAAUGUAUAUCUUUACUUGUAUAAUUUUGCCCAUUUAAAUUGUGUUAUUAUAGAAAAGUAUGUAUUAUUUUCUAUCAUUUUGUAGUAUUUCUUAUGUUUACUUGUUCCUAAUUCUCAUUGGCUGGUAUACUCUUCUAAUAAGAUUUAUUUUCCCUUGAUCUCUG
rnacentral:lncRNA from 1 species